rnacentral:rRNA from 1 species
GACGUAGGGUCCAAGCGUUGUCCGGAUUUACUGGGCGUAAAGAGCGCGUAGGCGGUCUGUUAAGUGUGAUGUGAAAUCUCCAGGGCUCAACCCGGAAACUGCAUCGCAUACUGGCAGACUUGAGGAGUGCAGAGGUAACUGGAAUUCCUGAUGUAGCGGUGAAAUGCGUUGAUAUCAGGAGGAACACCCAUGGCGAAGGCAGGUUACUGGGCAUUAUCUGACGCUGAGGCGCGAAAGCGUGGGUAGCAAACAGG